CAGAGAGAAAAUGGGCCAAUAAACUGAAGUCACAUCCUUGGAUUAACAGCAGCCUAUUGGAUAUCACAUGACAUGAGACAUGUGGGAGGAGAUUCUGCAGGGGUCAGCAAUCCAGGCUCUCUUCAUCCCACUCCUCUGAGACGGUAAAAGGUAUUUUCUCUGUUUGCUGUGAUGUCAAGCAGCCGUCUGUCCACCAUGAGUCCACCACUUUCCAUCCAUAUGCCAUUUCCAGCUUUAUAUUCAAAACUACAAAGAGGACAUCAUCAAUAAAACACUUGUGCAGUAGUC